rnacentral:rRNA from 1 species
UACCUACGGGGCGCAGCAGUGAGGAAUAUUGGUCAAUGGGCGGGAGCCUGAACCAGCCAAGUCGCGUGAGGGAAGACGGUCCUAUGGAUUGUAAACCUCUUUUGUCGGGGAGCAAAGAGGCCACGUGUGGUCAAAAGCGAGAGUACCCGAAGAAAAAGCAUCGGCUAACUCCGUGCCAGCAGCCGCGGUAAUACGGAGGAUGCGAGCGUUAUCCGGAUUCAUUGGGUUUAAAGGGUGCGCAGGCGGGCCUUUAAGCCGGCGGUGAAAUCGCGGGGCUCAACCCCGGCGAGCCGUCGGAACUGGGG